CAAAGGAUGCCUGAUAAAAGGGAUAUUUUGAUAGAAUAUAUAAUGGAAAUACUUCCUCCUUUGA